GCCCUACGGGGGGCAGCAGUAGGGAAUCUUCCACAAUGGGCGCAAGCCUGAUGCAGCAACGCCGCGUGAGCGAUGAAGGCCUUCGGGUCGUAAAGCUCUGUCCUCAAGGAAGAUAAUGACGGUACUUGAGGAGGAAGCCCCGGCUAACUACGUGCCAGCAGCCGCGGUAAUACGUAGGGGGCUAGCGUUAUCCGGAAUUACUGGGCGUAAAGGGAGCGCAGGCGGCACGGCAAGCCUGAUGUGAAAGCCCGCGGCCCAACCGCGGGACUGCAUUGGGAACUACCGGGCUGGAGUGCCGGAGAGGG
rnacentral:rRNA from 1 species